UACGUAGGGUGCAAGCGUUAAUCGGAAUUACUGGGCGUAAAGCGUACGCAGGCGGCUGUGUAAGACAGGCGUGAAAUCCCCGGGCCUAACCUGGGAACUGCAUUUGUGACUGCAUAGCUAGAGUCUGUCAGAGGGGGGUGGAAUUCCACGUGUAGCAGUGAAAUGCGUAGAGAUGUGGAGGAACACCGAUGGCGAAGGCAGCCCCCUGGGAUAAGACUGACGCUCAUGUACGAAAGCGUGGGGAGCAAACAGG
rnacentral:rRNA from 1 species